AUUGAACGCUGGCGGCAGGCCUAACACAUGCAAGUCGAGCGAGCGGCGGACGGGUGAGUAAUGUCUGGGAAACUGCCUGAUGGAGGGGGAUAACUACUGGAAACGGUAGCUAAUACCGCAUACCAUCAGAUGUGCCCAGAUGGGAUUCGCUAGUAGGUGGGGUAACGGCUCACCUAGGCGACGAUCCCUAGCUGGGCUGAGAGGAUGACCAGCCACACGGGAACUGGGACACGGUCCAGACUCCUACGUGGGGCAGCAUUGGGGACUAUUGCACAAUGGGCGCAAGCCUGAUGCAGCAAUGCCGCGUGUGGGAAGAAGGCCUUCGGGUUGUAAAGCACUUUCAGCGGGGAGGCGUUACCCGCAGAAGAAGCAACGGCUAACUCCGUGCCAGCAGCCGCGGUAAUAC
rnacentral:rRNA from 1 species